rnacentral:lncRNA from 1 species
GUUUUGGAUUGUAGCUUUAUCCUGAGGAGUUCAUUUGGGUAUUUGAUAAUUAAAUACUGAGAAAGAAGUGAGACUACUAGCACACGAAAAGGAAAUCACGGAAAUGGUGCAUGUGUAGUCUCAUUGAUUUCUGAAGUGCUUUCACUUAGUGGGUGACAUUCCUGACAGUUUGAUUACUUGGAAUUUGAGGUGAAAGUGCCCAGGCAAAGAGAUCAAGUCAAGAUAGAGAAAAAUGAGGAGCACGUUAGAAUAAGAAAAUUGGACUUUUUGUGAAGAACACAAUUGCUUGUUCAUAUGUUGCUGAAAUGCAAAGAGACCUCCAGGAUGCACCAAAGAAAGGGACUAAGUAGAGAGCAGGAAGAUAGAUGAAGCUUAAAUUAUCAUCAGCAGCACUGUUUGUCAAGUAGGGUAUGCACGUCUGAGGGAGGCUGCGUGUGGCUGCUGCUGCUGACAGAGCCCAGGCAGCGUGCUCUGUGCGUGCACCCCUUCCGGAGGGACCCUGUGAAAGGGAAGUCCUCAGGCCUGGAGGAGGACAAGACUGAUGCUAGCCUCUUGGCACCGAAGUCCACCAGGACUGAAGCACAUUGACCUGCUGUGGCUGUGCAGAAAAGCUGAACUACUCAGACCCUCACUGCUCCAUGGGGCUGCUUGUGUGGUUCGUUCCAGGGGCUCACAAGAAGCAAAACCUCUCACCAGUCAUGGGAAAGGGACAUCAAUUUUGCAGUACACUUUUUGCUCAGAGGAGGCUUCCUCAGUGCACCUCCUGUCACAUAUGGGCUUAUGAAGCCCUGCAUUUCUGCUGGAAACUUCAGGGACUGUGCAUCUUGGAUGUCAGAUGCAGAAGUCAGCUUGCCCUUGCAGAUAGCAUCCUCCAAAGCCAGUCCCCCUGCAGUGGGAAUGUCCUGGAUGGCAUGGGGAGAAGCACAGGGGUAAAGCAGCUUGACAAGAGCACAAGCCAGCAGCUGGUUUGUUCUGAGAGCUGUUUUACCAAAGAUGUGUCACUGAAAAAUGGUACUGUGGACAGCAUAGCCUGCUGA